rnacentral:rRNA from 1 species
UACAGAGGUCUCAAGCGUUGUUCGGAUUCAUUGGGCGUAAAGGGUGCGUAGGCGGCGCGGUAAGUCGGGUGUGAAAUCUCGGGGCUUAACUCCGAAACUGCAUUCGAUACUGCCGUGCUUGAGGACUGGAGAGGAGACUGGGAAUUUACGGUGUAGCGGUGGAAAUUGCGUAGAUAUCGUAAGGAAGACCAGUGGCGAAGGCGGGGUCUCUGGACAAGUUCCUGACGCUGAGGCACGA